CAGGCCUAACACAUGCAAGUCGAACGCCCCGCAAGGGGAGUGGCAGACGGGUGAGUAACACGUGGGAACAUACCCUUUGGUUCGGAAUAACUCAGGGAAACUUGAGCUAAUACCGGAUACGUCCGCGAGGAGAAAGAUUCAUCGCCGAAGGAUUGGCCCGCGUCCGAUUAGCUAGUUGGUGAGGUAAUGGCUCACCAAGGCAACGAUCGGUAGCUGGUCUGAGAGGAUGAUCAGCCACACUGGGACUGAGACACGGCCCAGACUCCUACGGGAGGCAGCAGUGGGGAAUAUUGGACAAUGGGCGAAAGCCUGAUCCAGCCAUGCCGCGUGAGUGAUGAAGGCCCUAGGGUUGUAAAGCUCUUUCGUCAGGGACGAUAAUGACGGUACCUGAAGAAGAAGCCCCGGCUAACUUCGUGCCAGCAGCCGCGGUAAU
rnacentral:rRNA from 1 species